rnacentral:rRNA from 1 species
GGGUCAGUAGGUAGGUCGUGCCACCGGUACGUACUGGUCUCACUGAUUCCUCCUUCCUGAAGAACCGUAAUGCUAUUAAUUUGGUGUUGCGGGGAAACAGGACUGUUACUUUGAAAAAAUUAGAGUGUUUAAAGCAAGCUAACGCUUGAAUACAUUAGCAUGGAAUAAUGAAAUAGGACGAUCGAUCCUAUUUUGUUGGUUUCUAGGAUUGACGUA